ensembl:lncRNA uncharacterized LOC110086342
UGUUUGCUCAAAUCAAACCUUUCUCAGAAGUAAAUACUACCUAUUAUUUCAUGUAUUGAUAGGAAGAGAUGUUGGGUGAUGUCAUCUAGUCUCUUGUAUUUUAUUGUAACCAGAGGUUGCAGAAAGAUUGACAGGGACUGUGUGUUUAGUCGUUUAGUCGUGUCCGACUCUUCGUGACCCCAUGGACCAGAGCACGCCAGGCCCUCCUGUCUUCUACUGCCUCCCGGAGUUGUGUCAGGUUCAUGUUGGUUGCUUCGCAGACACUGUCCAGCCAUCUCAUCCUCGGUCGUCCCCUUCUCCUUCUCAGAAGUAAACACUACCUAUUAUUUCAUGUAGGAAGAGAUGUUGGGUGAUGUCAUCUAGUCUCUUGCAUUUUAUUGUAACCAGAGGCCGCAGAAAGAUUGACAGGGACUAUACAGAAUCAGUUCCUUGACUUCAGGCUGCUUUGGAACAUGUUGACAUUCCGGACUAUAUAGAAUCAAUUCCUUGACCUCAGGCUGCUUUGGAACAUGUUGACAUUCCAAUGCCUCAUAAAGAGCGGAAUGUUCUUCUGCUUCCCCGGAGACAGUCCAGCCAAAGAAUCAAGGGUUCCCAUAGCCCAAUCGAGCAAUGCCACCACAAUGCCAGAACAACAACGACCGAGACCCCAGCUCCAAGAAACCUGAACUGAUAUUUCGCUGAUCUGCCACAAACUUCCUGCUUGAGCACAGGAGACAUCCAAAGACAAGUACUUGAGAUCAGAAGAACAAGGUGUUCUUUCCAGAUAGUGACUAAAUGCUGCUUAAUCAACUGGACUAGAAUCAGAAAGAACUGGCCAGAAACCAAUCGUGUAUUUUCUGAGGCUUUUGCUGCUGCCUUCAGAAACAACCAGAAUCUCUUCUUCCUGCAAUCCUGUGUGCACCAUAAAAACCUCCCCUGGGGAGAGACUCUGAAGUAGGGUUUUGACAACCAAACAGCCAGAGAGAGAAGGAAAGAAGGUCCCAAUUGUACUGAUUCUGCAUACAAAAAUUCACCACUGUAAUGUUGCCAGUGUUUUGUGGUCAUCUAAGUGCAUUGCUUCCACCUGUCCAUAGCACCAGGAUCAUGUGAAAAGCUGUGUUGCCAUAUAUCUAAGGGUGUGACUACAUACUGGGGAAUAUAUGAAUAUAUGGUUUGAUCAGCUGUGGAGGCACAGUUUAUAGAAUCGUGUUUUCCUGAUAGCUGUCCAGGCAACAAUUAGCAGGCGUCUGCAGGGCAAAGGCAGAGAGCUCAGUCUGCAUGGAGCCUCAAGAGCAGAAGCUGCCAACAAGGGACUAUUGGGCAAUCUCCAUCUCUCUCUGUUUGCUUAUUUAGUUCUUUGAAGUGUCCUAGCGAAACCCCGUUCCCAAUGCUGAGAUGAAACAUCCAUUUUCAGAGAGACUAUGGAUGCUCAAUUGAGGUGAAGUGCUAUCCCCAUGAGCAUCCCUGUGCAUUGGAUGAGACAAUCAUACUGGCAGAAAAAGCAGCGUCAACCCAAUUAGAGCACAUUUAAACCACCUUGUUGGCUGCACACACGCAAAAGAUCAUUCCCUGCUGUCAACCCAAUUAGAGCACAUUUAAACCAUGUUUGCUGCACACACGCAAAAGAUCAUUCCCUGCUCAAAGACAAUUCCUCAACUGGUUUCCUCACAUUGAGCUUUACGUUGC